UGGUCAAUGAUGACUAGCCCACUGCGCAAUCUGAGUUCCAGAGUGAACCUUUAUGACUGAAUUAGUGCUGGAAAAAGUCUGAGACCC